rnacentral:lncRNA from 1 species
GUGGAUUAUGUGGUUACAAUGAUUGCAAAUGGGAUGACUAUUUCUACCAGACCAAGCUAUUAAGAGUUUGACAAAUGUAAAGACAUUUGUAUAUUGUGACCUUGAAUGUUGACCUUCAGAUUAUUUUUGUGUUGAUUUGUUCCUAUCCCAUUCAAAUGCAUUGGUGGUCCAAAAAAGAGGGGGCGGUUCCAACCCUUGGAACCCCCCUGGAUCCGCCACUGCUUUUUUAAACUAGUUAAUUGAUUUUGGUGGUUCAAGGUUUAUAUUUUUCACUGAUAACUUGUUCUUCAAAUUGUGUAUGCAGAGCAGUUUAAACUUUUAUAAUGUAUGACUUGCAUUAAAGUGUAUACAUGUACUGGUAAUCCCUUAGCAAAUUCCACUUAACUAAUUAACUGGUUUGUGAUAAUAUAUACUAUGCAAAUUAUGUUGUCUACCCCACAUCUCUUAAACAGAUUUCCAUAACUUGAUGGAAAGUCAAACAUUCCUUAAAACCAUUGAUUUUUCAGGUAUUUCCAAUUGAUUUUUAAGUAAUGAAAUUCAAACAAUAAAAACACUUUCCCUUUGAUCAUACAACUACUCAAUAAUUGACAUCAGUAAUUAACCAGUAGACAAUCCUACAAUGUUGUAUAACUUCU